GAUCAUGGCUCAGGAUGAACGCUAGCUACAGGCUUAACACAUGCAAGUCGAGGGGCAGCAUGAACUUAGCCUGCUAAGUUUGAUGGCGACCAGCGCACGGGUGAGUAACACGUAUCCAACCUGCCGAUGACUCGGGGAUAGCCUUUCGAAAGAAAGAUUAAUACCCGAUGGCAUAAUUCUUCCGCAUGGUAGAACUAUUAAAGAAUUUCGGUCAUCGAUGGGGAUGCGUU
rnacentral:rRNA from 1 species